rnacentral:rRNA from 1 species
ACUCCUACGGGAGGCAGCAGUAGGGAAUCUUCCACAAUGGGCGCAAGCCUGAUGGAGCAACACCGCGUGAGUGAAGAAGGGUUUCGGCUCAUAAAGCUCUGUUGUUAAAGAAGAACGCGUAUGAGAGUAACUGUUCAUACGUUGACGGUAUUUAACCAGAAGUCACGGCUAACUACGUGCCAGCAGCCGCGGUAAUACGUAGGUGGCAAGCGUUAUCCGGAUUUAUUGGGCGUAAAGAGAGUGCAGGCGGUUUUCUAAGUCUGAUGUGAAAGCCUUCGGCUUAACCGGAGAAGUGCAUCGGAAACUGGAUAACUUGAGUGCAGAAGAGGUAGUGGAACUCCAUGUGUAGCGGUGGAAUGCGUAGAUAUAUGGAAGAACACCAGUGGCGAAGGCGGCUACCUGGUCUGCAACUGACGCUGAGACUCGAAAGCAUGGGUAGCGAACAGGAUUAGAUACCCCUGGUAGGAUAGCG